UUGUUGAGAAAUAUGAGAUUACUUAAGGAAAGAUAAUUGGGAUAAUUAAGAGUGACUACAGUAAGUCACGUCACUGAAUGGGUCUGUGUGGCAGCCAGACAGGAGAUGAACUAAUUACACAAGUGGACCCAGGUGUGACUCCUGCCCGAUUGGAAAGCUUACAACAUGUCUCUGUUCCAGCCCCCUGAAUGACAAACAAUUUGAUUUUCAGGCGUGUGGACAUACAGGAAGGCAGUGCGACACUGAGCCAAUCAAAGAAAAGCCUUCAGCAGGUCGUCGUGAAGUCGAGGUUUGUCCUUAUCAUCUGCAAAAGACAAAACAGUAGAAAAGUGAACAGAAGCAGAAGAGAUGUUAUGGCCCAUUAUACCCAUUUUACAAAAGGACCUUGUCAUGUUACUGGAAAUGGGACAGGGAUGGCCCAGUGGUUAAGGUGUUGGACUGCGGAUCAGGGGAUCGCCGAAUUAAACCCCGGCAUCGCUGGGUCACCACUGUUGGACUCUUGAGCAAGGUCCUUCAACCCCAAGCUCUCAGACACAAUUGGUCAUUGAGCUGUACCAUCUUUCCAUCCAUUUUAUUGAAAACUGUAAGACUUG